rnacentral:rRNA from 1 species
GUGUCAGCAGCCGCGGUAAUACGAAGGGGGCUAGCGUUGUUCGGAAUUACUGGGCGUAAAGGGCGCGUAGGCUGUGCUGUAAGUCAGGCGUGAAAUCCCCGGGCUCAACCUGGGAAUUGCGCAUGAUACUGCGGCGCUGGAAUGCAGGAGAGGAUGGCGGAAUUCCCAGUGUAGAGGUGAAAUUCGUAGAUAUUGGGAAGAACACCGGUGGCGAAGGCGGCCAUCUGGCCUGCAAUUGACGCUGAGGCGCGAAAGCGUGGGGAGCAAACAGGAUUAGAUACCCCGGUAGUCC